rnacentral:misc_RNA from 1 species
GUUACCGGUUGAAAGGGUUAAAAGUAUCCUUUUAAACGGUACUCGAGGUUUACCCUUUGCAAAAGGGUACAUUUUAUCCUUUCAAAAGGGUUAAAACUAUCCUUUCGAUUCUCCUCACUGGCGUUACCCUUUCAAAAGGGUAACUCUCUUUGCAACAAGUACCACUAGCGCCGCCCUGGUUUCUAAAUUCGGUACUUAAAUCUGUUUGACGUUUUGGAUCGUGCUCGUGCGUGGUGCGUGUUUUUUAAGUUUUCCAAGUUUUUCUUAAACUUUUAGAGUUGUUCCUGAAGAUUAUGGCCACUCCGGUGGACCAUGUGCUGCACGAUCGAGAGGUCAACUAGUUUCCCGGUACCGAGUCGUUUUGCAUCUCGCUGGAAUCUUCGUAUUCGAUCCAACAGAUGAUCUUAUCUGAUGAUGAGUUGCGUUGCACGCAAGGUUGCACCCGGUUGUCACGGCUUUAUAGAAGACGCAUCUUGGAGAAAUACGCGAAAAUCGAGGUGAUCUUCAAAGCCAACGGAACGUCCAGAGUUCGACUCGGUUUGCAACCACGACGUCUAACGGUCGAGUGCAAAAAACUUCCGUUGAUUGGCGCUGCUGGAGGUAGCGAAACGGGACCUGCAGAACCAGGGGCAGAACCCGAACCGGAAACGAGCGCAGAAUCAGAGCCACCGACCGCCACCGGAGCCCGCUACGGAACUAGAACCGGAAAGCACCUGCUUCGGAACCAUCGGCCGAACCAGGACCGCAUCCAAGGCCCGAGGUGUCCUCCAAACCGGAACCGGAAAGUACUUCCGAGCCGGGAUCAUCCUCAGAAAGUACCUCGGAACCAGAAGGCAGAAAAUGGAACUCAAGUCCAAGAAGAUAAAGCGUGCCACCGGAGACUCCCGUCCACCAGCGAGCGAGAACCCGAGCCAACAUUCGAGCUGGAGCCCAAAUCGAAACCCAAAACAAUGCCGUCCUCUGUGUCGGAACCCAUGGCCGAAAUCACGGCCAAACCCAAACCAAAAACCACCAACACACGUGGACGUGGACUCCGCGGCACGACUUCAACGUGAUGGACUGCACAGACAUCGUGAUCGGAACAGCCCGCGAGGAAACUUACCGCGUGUGUGACUACUACACCCGUGAUCGGUCCACACCGCGAGGACUUUCUGGAGGACAAGUCGGAUCUGACCGCCACCGGAGGGUUCGAGGUGGACGGCACCACGGCGAUCGUGUUAGUCGCAAGCUGGCGGCGAUUUGAUGCACGUGAUUUGGGCCAAGGGACAGGAACCAUCCAAGUUCACAUAUGGCGAAGUUCAAAGCGUUUGCCGCUCGAUGAAAAUACAAUUUGAAAGUACACUCAAA